GUCGGCUUGAAUCUUCCAUAAAAUAUUUGUUUCUGCCUUGACCUUGAUUUUCAUCAAUCUUUUCUAUUAGUUGGAACCUUUAGAGACAACAAUUUGGCCAUAGGGUGAGCCCUUUUAUAGUAUUUUGCUUUAAGAUAUGUAGCCCACAAAGAUGUUUGGGUUCUGAAACUUCACCAGCUCUGAAGGAUGAGAGUGUCAGAAAUAUCUUGCAUUGUUCUGAGGCUUGUAACUCCCCUUUCCUUUGUAUUGUACAUGAUAUCCUAACCACAACGAUGAUACUUGUCUUUACCUUUCUUUGAUCCCCAUAAGAAAUUUGCAAAAUGUUUUUCCAUAAGGUAAAUACAGUAGGACACUUUUGAUGAAAGUGAUCCUCCUACCACAGGAAAGCAUCUUCCUUUGCCACCCACUUAAUCUCUUAACCACCUUGGCAAUUAUAGGGUCAAAAUAACAGAUUUUUUUCCCUCCCUUUUGUAUAUGGGACAUCCUAAAUAAGUGAAAGGAAACUCUGUGUUGAUAAAGCUAGAAGUUGUCCUCAUUUUGUUUAUUCUAGAUGUACCAAUGUUCUUAGCCAUAAGAACAAGCUCUUAUCAUUGUUAAUCUUCUGCCCAGAAGCUUUUUCGUAUCUCCUGACUUGCUUCAUAAUAAGAUUGAUAGAUCUAGUAUUGCCUCGGUAAAAAUCACAAUAUCAUCAGCAUAAGAAGGAUGAUUAACAAUUGUACCCGAGGUGUCCAUAUUGAAAUGAGUGAAAUUAGGGUUGCCCAGAAGCUGAUUAAGAAGUCUUUAUAGAACCUUUCUCCAAUCAAUGGUUAUCUAUUAUAUAAGCCAACAAGAAAGGACCAACACAACAUUUAUUGAUUGUACUCAAGGAUUAUAAGUUCUACAUCAAGCAAGGACCAACACUGCAUUUCUUGAUUGUACGAAGGAGCUGCCUUUACAGUACACAUGGCCCUAAGAUCCAGUAUCGAUCUGAUAACAACGGACACUCCUGAUUGGAUAUGUAAAGUUCAGAUUGUCGACAUCAGCUGAGAGAGAAAAAGCCCUGAGAAGCAAAUCCUAUUCCAAAAUCUCCUUUUAGAAGAUGAAGAGGGCCAACAAAUUAGGGCUACUGUGUAUGGAGAUGACAUUGCAUAUUAUACGGACAAGUUGGUUCUCCUCAACACCUACCUGAUCUUUGCUGCACGAGUAAAGGAUUCGCCAAAAUUAUAUGCUCAGCCAAUACAUACAUAUUACUGGAUACUUGGUAAGGAAACAAUAGUUGAACAUAUCAACCCCAAUGCUAAGCUGAAUCUCACGCCUUUAGAUAAUGUUGCUCAGUUGACACCCACUCUCUCUGCAGAAAUUGGUAUAUUACUCUUGCCAAAUGUUAUACGACUGAAAUUUAUAUGUCUGCACAGAUAGAUGCUAAAUAUAUUCUUCUAUUUCUUACUACUAGAUAUUCUAGGAGUUGUUAUCUGUUGUGGCCCUGAGAAAUAUGCAGGUUGCACUCAAAAUUAGUGUCGAGAGAUCACCAUAGAUGACAAUCAGUAAGUAUACCUUUUAAAUGAGAUAGUAAAGAUUCUACUUUACAGUACUUGCGCUUUUAUAAUAGAUUCCAAAACAACUAGUAAUUACUUUUGCUACUUUCAAGAACACUCAGUGUCUCCUCACCUUAUGGGGUGACUUCAGCAAAAUUGAAGGUCCUGAACUGCAGGCUAAAAUAGAAAAAGAAGAAUACCCGGUCAUCCUCGGAAGGAACAUAGGAAUUUCUUAUUAUCAAGGUGUAACUGAUAAGUCAUUAAUUUGAUGACUUGCUAGCACCUUUUAAGCCUAAAUUAUUAUGUUUUUCCAUUGAUUUGAUGGUACUCUUACGUAAUGUCCAUUUAUGUAGGUAAAAGUAAAAAGAGAAGAUUGGUCAAGUCAUUCAAGUCAUCAAGAGGCCAAAUGUGAAGGAAAUGAGUCAUCCGCUUCACAUCUGCUUUGCUUUGCAGAUGUGCUCUUUUUCUGCUCUUCAUCCACUUUGGAUCUGUUUGUAAUUUCCAUCAAAUGUAGAGUGGAGUUUAAAAGGAGGCUUUUAGCUCAUCUUUUAAGACCUAAUUUUAAUCUCUUUUGAAGAGAGCCUCCUUUUUAGAUCUUAGCUCUUCUCUUUUAGCAUCUAUCUUUUCAUCUUUUGAGAAAUUUGUACUAAACUUGAAUGAAAAAUAUAUGGUAGUGGUUUUUCUUUGAAGAAUUAUUGAAAUCCCAAGUAUGGAA